rnacentral:rRNA from 1 species
UACGUAGGGUGCGAGCGUUGUCCGGAAUUAUUGGGCGUAAAGAGCUCGUAGGCGGUCUGUCGCGUCGAUCGUGAAAACUUGGGGCUUAACCCUGAGCUUGCGGUCGAUACGGGCAUGACUGGAGUUCGGCAGGGGAGAAUGGAAUUCCUGGUGUAGCGGUGAAAAUGCGCAGAUAUCAGGAGGAACACCCGUGGCGAAAGCGGCUCUCUGGGACGGUACUGACGCUGAGACGCGAAAGCGUGGGGAGCAAACAGG